rnacentral:Y_RNA from 1 species
GGCUGGUCCAGAGGUAGUGUUCAUAGUCGGUUACGGAUCAGAUUUCUCAUUCUGCUCUUUCCUUCCUUCUCAAUACUACACUUGACCAGUCUUAA